rnacentral:lncRNA from 1 species
UUCACCAAUGAGACGCCGAUGUUAAGCGCUUCUUUCGCGAAGAGAAAUAAUCGAAGUGCAGCUACGAUAAACGGGUAGGGAACUCCGACGGAAGAUUGUGGAAGGGGAUUCGCUGACUUCCUCGUAGCUUCCUCGUAAUCGUUAUCGCGAUUGUCGGCACCGAGUUAACCCCAACCGAUCGUUGACACUCAAGGAGAAUGAAACCGCGCGGACAAACCGCUUUUCGAAGUGUCCAAAAACCAAAGUUAUCUGUCGUGCGACAUCGCUUGUAUUUACUUAUAUUGUAGGUCGCUCUUAGAUUGACCGCCUGCACCAAGUGCCGAGUCCGUUUGAUAUGUAUGUAGAUCGUUCCAACCCCAACGCAAACUCUAGGAUGCGUUCGAAACAUAUAUUACAAAAGUAAAAAGUAAGUAACAUAAGAACGAUAUUGUUUGGUGAAAAAAAAAGCGCGCCAAACACCGUGACCAGCACCAUCAGUCACAAGCACCAUAGGAAUCGGUGGUACUCAUAAGCCAGGCGAGCAGGCAGGGCAGGAUAUAACAGAAGCACUGGAAUGAAGGAGGACGAGCGCUCCAAGAAGAAAGAAAAGGGUAGGAGGGCAAUCGACGGUGCGGCAGGGUUUGCUGUUGUGUUUGCCCAACAGCUCCACUCGUCAUCCCGGAUGUGCAACAUCUUUACAUGCUAUUCUUCGAUGCAGUUACCUACCAACGCGAUUCUUCUCUUUUUCAUCUAUUAACGAGUCUUAUUUAGCUAUACCCCUUAACUAUACAUAGAGACAUGUACGUACCCGACAUAUGUCGUAUAAAUACGACACCGAAACCAUAUAGUAACAUAUUACAAUAAAUAUUCGACCAAUUGACUUUUCAAUUAGACGAUUAUUUAACGAAUAAUAGAAUCGUUUGGUUAUUCGACUGAGAAUCCGACCGAACGAGUAUUCGUCGUUGGUUCGUUUGGAGAAAGUGUCUCUUGUACGAUGCCUUAAGGCGCAUUUCACAUGCGCUUUAAGAGCUCCGGCAAAGCGAGUUCCGACUCGCGAGCCGUGUGUUAACGCACGCUCGGCUUAUGUAAUCGGUUACGGUAAUAGCGUAGUUAUAGCAAUCCGGGAGCAACCAACGGGUAACACAAUUCCUUGUUAAUACGCUAACGAAUACACUAGCUCCUACAUUGUACGUUCCUAUCGUCAAUUUUCAUUCGAGAUUCCUCUUUCAAGCAUAACAACUAACAAGUACGACUUUUAAGGUGGCCAAGCAUUUUAUCCAUUCUUUGACUUAUUUAUCUACAAACCACGAGCCGAAAUUACGAUCAUUUUCUUUUUUUUCAAUGCAAUAUGAGUUAGAGUUGUAAUUGAAUAAUGCGUUAACGUUCGAACGUAGUAAACUCUGACGAUCGAACGAACGAUAAGGAAGAAACUCUUGAAGUGAGCGGCAGACGCUUACAGCAAUGGCGACUUCAUGAUUUGACCCGUCGAGCCGACGAACCGGUUAUCAAUGCUCGGAAGCGUGUCGUUCGGCUCGAUUACGAUACGUCCUCGAUGUAGGUGAGUACAGGAGCGUAUCGUGGCGCACCUACCCUACGCGAAUUAUUGAAAUCUCGAAGCCUAGUUAGCAUUACUCUCUAUCACCGCUAUUUAACGAAAAGUCUUUUUUAAGGAAAGAGCAACCCUGAAAACGGAUUGCUUCAACCUUCGAACAAAAUUUUUUGCGUUAAUUUGAAAAACGUGUAGGUAGGUACGUAGGUAGGAAUUGCAUAAGUCUAGGUACGUACGCGAGCACUCGCAAAGGCAAAGAGAAUCGGAUAGGAAGACGAACGAGCGGAACUGAGGUCCGUGGAGCUUCCUUUCCUUUCGACAUGCCUGGCUGCCUUCUCAUCCUCUCCCACAGAUUACAACCAACUUUUCUCUCUCUCUCCCUCUCCCUCCCUCUCUCUCUCUCUCUCUCGCGCGCGCGCGCGAGCGUCCAGCAAUACCUUCACUUGCUUGCUUGCACGAGCAGUACACGCUCGUGUACAGGUUCUAAUACGCGUUCACCUUCUUACUCUCCCUCUCUUGCUUACCGAUGUGUAAGCACUACCACGUUAACAACGAGCAACGAGCCGCUGCUAAUACUACUAAGAACAACAGUAAUGGUCGUAAGACUAUUCGAAUCGGAGCAGGUCUGAAAAAGAAGGAACUACGUUGGACGCACCUACUUCCGGGAUGCGUCUUACCUCGGCGCACCUUCGCCAACGAGUGAUGAUACGUUCUUAACGAUCUACAUCUCAUGUUUUAAUACAAUCGCCCAUUAUCGAAAUCUUAUUUUCUCACGGAUUAGACAAAUGUUAACCGAACCUUAUUAAGAACGCAAUUCGUUCCUCCGUUUUAGUCUUAACAAGACUUUGACUUGACAAAUCAUUUUCGAAGGAAUGAUUUUGCGAGUAAAACGUUAGCGCGCUUAUAAUGGAGGAAGCCAUUACCUCAUUCCGCAUCCUUAGGUUCCUAUCGAACCACUCUACCGACUCGACCGACGAUCGAACCACUUUACUUUCUACCUAAGGUUCGAACUUUAGCAAAAGAAGAGGAUUAAACGCAGGAUACGUCACUGGAAAGAUUCUACUUCGAUUGCUCAUGACAAAGAUUUUCCAUCUCCACGUAUACCUGUGUAUACCAUCUAUACCGAUGACGAAUCCAAUACUGGACACGCAAGCAUGCACGUAUAGAUAUAGUUUGAAAGUAGAGGAACCCUCGCCUCGUACUCACCCCUUGAGCUAGUUUCUCUACAACUCCCCUUCUUACGUCGGCCCGAAAUCUGGCCGCACCUCGAGAAUACUCUUCCGAGUAUUACUCAUUCCUAGAGCAGCUGGGUUACGUCCCCGGAGUUGCCGCCGCUGCUGCUGCUGCUGGUUCUUCCCUUCUUCAUUUUCAAGGCUGAAUCAAUCUCGGUUUAUCCUGGAGACGGGUUGAGAUUUGAUCGGUACUCCCAAGUAAGAAGAAAAGGCGAU